GCAGGAAGGCAGUUGGAAGGUUUCCUGCUGUUCGGUGACUUGGACCUGUCUGGCUGCUGGCUCCUUCCUGAGGCAAAGCGUAGUGUGAGAGCCACCACCCAGCAUUUGGGCCUUAGACAGGUUGAACCUAUAAUUAAUAUUCCUCAAUGUUCGUUCACUCUGAAAUAAUGCAGCCCUGUGAGAGAAAGCUGGUGAGCAGUUGGUUGUUCUGGAUUGGUUAAAAAAAAAUGGUCUCAGUCAAGAGGAUAUAAUAGCACGUGGGAUUCAAUGCAUUAAGUUGUUGCACACAUGCUUUUGUGUCUGACCCAAGUCCAGGUGUGUUGCUGUAUCUGAGAUGGGGUGUUGUAGAAUUUAUCUUUAAUAUUUCUGAAAAAAGAAAUGGUCUAAAAUAAAAAAGGUUUCGGGAAGGACAUCUCUCUCUUUUUUUUUUUUUCCUUAAUCUUCCUGUGACACGAACGAUUCUGGAAAUUGCUUCCCUGCCCCUCAUCCCAAGUUCUAAUUCCCAUUAAGAAACAGCUCUCUUGUCUUAAGGCUUUGUUGUAUCCUAAAAGGUUCUACUUCAUGAGACUUAGUCAUCAGCUAGAGCAAAUCUCAUUUCAGAGCAAGCAAGAAAGCCUCCUGCUAGAGUCCGCUCAAUCUUCCUCUAAAAGUUUUUUCUUCUUCUUAAUGAUGGGGUGAGAAUAUUGAGAAAACUAUGAAUAAAUUUCAGGAUGGCUCAGUGGGUAAGAGCUCUUGCCACCAAGCCUUGUAACUUGAGUUCUUGAGUUCUGUCCUUGGAACACGCAUUACGGAAGGAGAGAACCAAUCCCUACAAGUUACCCAAUGACUGCUGAGCUGUGGCAAGCUCACACCCCCCUACAUCUGCCAAGUACCCCAGUAAUCUCAGGACUCAGGAGUCAGAGACAGGAGGAUCAUUGAGUUUAAGACUCGUCUGGUCUUUAGAGCAAGUUCUAGGCCAGCCCAGGCUAUCCUUAGAGACCCUGUUUCAAAAACAAAACAACAAACAAACACAAACUAGCAAAACCAAACCAAAUCAGAAAACUCAGCAAACCAGACUAGAAUUCAGAAUUGUGAUACACUUCCGAUUAGAGCAUUUAUUUGCCUUGUGUGUGAGGCCCUGGAUUCUGCCCCAACACUGCCAAGGAACAAACAACAGAAAGGUGAGGAGAAUGGGGCUCCAUUUUCUUUGUUGCUGUUGAUCCUUCCUUUUCAUCUCUGUCUUGUGGCAAGAAAAGUCCUUGCUACCUGUCAGUUUUCGGGAGUACCAAGCCAUCCUGCCUGUGUCUCGUGCCUCACAGGCUUCCUGCCCACAAACAUGUCAGGAACAUGUCUUUCAGGAGAUGGUUUGGGGUUAGUGAGAUUAUCAGCCCCACAGGACCGUAUUUUAUUACGUUGGAAAGUCACGUGUGGAUUCCUCAAAUACUUGGAGCAGCGGGGUAUGUACAUGAGGAACCCAGCCUGCACUUCCUGUGCGUGGCUGUGUGCUCAGUCUCCGGUUUCUUUCUCUGGAGCCCUGAUUGCCUUUGUAAAGACGUACUAUUCAUGCUUAGCCUUUUUGCUUGGAAGCUCUGGAUUUUGGGUUGAGUGUGCUCUACGAGAUUAUGGAAAAGGCAUGCAUUCUCUGGAAGGAAGGAGUAAGGCUGGGGAGGUGUUAGGACUGCAUUCUGACCUGGGACCUAUCAUCUUUAGGAUAAGCCCGUUUCUUCCUCUGUGGGGGCGAUGGUUCCAUGCCAGCUCACCACCUGCCUCCUCCAUAAGUGGAUCCUAAUCUAUGGGUUAUUGCUAUUUUCACAGCUAGAGAUGGGCCCAAGAGAGUUGAAAUUAUGCUGGGAAGAGAUGAGGCAGUGUGAGAACGUGAGAGAUCUCUGCAUCUUGUGCCUGUUGGCUAUUCUGUCCACUUGACACAAGCCAAGAUCAUCUGGGAAGAGAGAACCUCGCUUCCAUCAGAUUGGCCUGUAGGCAAGUCUGGAGCAUUUUUUUGAUUAAGAAUUCAUGUGAGGGGUUCAGCCCCCUGGGAGCAAUCCCAGGCAGGUGGUCUUGGGUUGUAUAAAAAAAGAGUCAACUGAGGACAUGAAGGGGGGACAAAGACAUAAGCAGGGCUCCUCCAUGGCUUUUGCUUCAGGUUCCUUCUUUGAGUUCCUGCCCUGACUUCUUUCAGUGAUGAUAUGUGACCCGAGAGUUAUAAGAUGAGAGAAACCCUUCCCUCCCCAAGUUUGGUUUUGGUUGUGGUGUUUUUUUUUUUUAUCACAGCAAUAGGAACCUUAAAACAUGUUUACAAUGGCUGACAGUGUUAGAAGGGAGUAAUUGUUAAAGAUAACAGGACCUUAAAUGAAGGAUUUGGAAAUAUAUGAAUAUAAGUCGAAUCUAGUACCGUAUAGUUAGUUGUUUAAUCAGUUAACUUUAAACCUUCAGUAGUGUCUUCUAUCUUUGAUGCACAGUUGAAUGAAAGACUCUGACUCCAUCUUUGGGAGAUUGAUAGAGAAAGACUAAGUAAAAUCAAUAUUAAGAAUUGCUUGCUGGAGCCCUCAGAGUUGGCUCCAUGGUUAAAGAGCCAGCAGGAGGGGUGUAGUUAGGAAUCCAGGAGCCCAUGUGAAUGCCAGAUGGGCAUGGUGGCUCACCUGUAACUCCAAUUUUGGAAGACAGAAAUAGGAGAUCCCUAGAGCAACUGGCUAGCUAGAGUAGCCAUAUUGGUGAAUUUGGGUUUGAUUGAGAGACCUU